rnacentral:rRNA from 1 species
UUGAACGCUGGCGGCAUGCCUUACACAUGCAAGUUGAACGGCAGCACAGGUAGCAAUACUGGGUGGCGAGUGGCGCACGGGUGCGUAACACGUAUGCAACCUACCCUAUACAGGCGAAUAACCUUUAGAAAUGAGGGCUAAUACGCCGUAGUAUUACAGAUGGGCAUCUAUUUGUAAUUAAAGAUUUAUCGGUAUAGGAUGGGCAUGCGUCCCAUUAGUUAGUUGGUAAGGUAACGGCUUACCAAGACGAUGAU